CUCCUGGAAACGGGUGGUAAUGCCGGAUGCUCCAGUUGAUCGCAUGGUCUUCUGGGAAAGCUUUCGCGGUAUGGGAUGGGGUCGCGUCCUAUCAGCUUGACGGCGGGGUAACGGCCCACCGUGGCUUCGACGGGUAGCCGGCCUGAGAGGGCGACCGGCCACAUUGGGACUGAGAUGCGGCCCAGACUCCUACGGGAGGCAGCAGUGGGGAAUAUUGCACAAUGGGCGCAAGCCUGAUGCAGCGACGCCGCGUGAGGGAUGGAGGCCUUCGGGUUGUAAACCUCUUUUAUCGGGGAGCAAGCGAGAGCGAGUUUACCCGUUGAAUAAGCACCGGCUAACUACGUGCCAGCAGCCGCGGUAAUACGUAGGGUGCAAGCGUUAUCCGGAAUUAUUGGGCGUAAAGGGCUCGUAGGCGGUUCGUCGCGUCCGGUGUGAAAGUCCAUCGCUUAACGGUGGAUCCGCGCCGGGUACGGGCGGGCUUGAGUGCGGUAGGGGAGACUGGAAUUCCCGGUGUAACGGUGGAAUGUGUAGAUAUCGGGAAGAACACC
rnacentral:rRNA from 1 species